UAUAAAUAAUUUUACUUUGAAACUGCGAAUGGCUCAUUAUAUCAGUUAUAGUUUAUUAGAAAUAYUUUACUACUUGGAUAACCGUAGUAAUUCUAGGGCUAAUACAUGARUAAAWCCUCAACUUCGGAAGAGGUGUGUUUAUUAGUAUGAAAACCAUAUAUCUUCGGAUAUAAUAGUGAGUAAUAAUAACCUUUCRUAUCGUAUGUCGUAAGAUAACGAUAGUUCUUUCAAGUUUCUGCCCUAUCAGCUUUCGAUGGUAGUAUAUGGGACUACCAUGGCAGUAACGGGUAACGAAGAAUUUGGGUUCGAUUUCGGAGAGGGAGCCUGAGAGAUGGCUACCACAUCCAAGGAAGGCAGCAGGCGCGUAAAUUACCCAAUCCUGACAUAGGGAGGUAGUGACAAUAAAUCACAAUGCGGAACUUUUAGUUUUGCAAUUGGAUUGAGAACAAUGUACAAAUGUUAUCGAUAAACAAUUGGAGGGCAAGUC
rnacentral:rRNA from 1 species